rnacentral:rRNA from 1 species
UACAGAGGGUGCAAGCGUUGUUCGGAAUUAUUGGGCGUAAAGGGCGUGUAGGCUGUUUGAUAAGUCUUCUGUGAAAUCUACGGGCUUAGCCUGUAAAGUGCAGAGGAAACUAUCAGGCUUGAGUGUCAGAGAGGAUAGGGGAAUACCCGGUGUAGAGGUGAAAUUCGUAGAGAUCGGGUGGAACACCAGUGGCGAAGGCGCCUAUCUGGCUGACAACUGACGCUGAGACUCGAAAGCAUGGGGAGCAAACAGG